rnacentral:tRNA from 1 species
GCGAAUAUAAAUUAAUGGUAAAUUAUUUGUCUUCCAAACAGAUUUUGAGAGUUCGAGUCUCUCUAUUCGCA